rnacentral:rRNA from 1 species
ACGGGAGGCAGCAGUGGGGAAUAUUGGGCAAUGGGCGAAAGCCUGACCCAGCAACGCCGCGUGAAGGAAGAAGGUCUUCGGAUUGUAAACUUCUUUUAUGUGGGACGAACAAAUGACGGUACCACAUGAAUAAGCCACGGCUAACUACGUGCCAGCAGCCGCGGUAAUACGGAGGAUGCGAGCGUUAUCCGGAUUUAUUGGGUUUAAAGGGUGCGUAGGCGGCCCCUUAAGUCGGCGGUGAAAUUUCCGGGCUCAACCCGGUCACUGCCGUCGAAACUGGGGGGCUUGAGUGCGUUUGGGGUGGCUGGAAUGUGCGGUGUAGCGGUGAAAUGCAUAGAUAUCGCACAGAACGCCGAUCGCGGAGGCAGGUCACCAAGCCGCAACUGACGCUGAGGCACGAAAGCGCGGGGAUCGAACAGGAUUAGAUACCCUGGUA